GCAUUAAUGGGGUAGUGGUAACCUGGGUCGUUGCCAUUAGUUGUCUUGAUCCCAAUAUUCGUUUCGACCCGCCGGGAGUUCGAUUCUCUCUUAAUGCA